GCCGCCGCUGUUCCAGGAGUCCGCAAACUGCGACGUCUGCGGCUGCACCUUCUCCACCUUCCGCCGCCGCCAUCACUGCCGCUGCUGCGGGAGGACGCUCUGCCACGAGCACUCUUCGUACCACAUGGCCCUGCCUCAGACGGGAUAUACACGGACGCCAGGGUCUGCUAUGAGUGCUUCAACAAAUCCUCCUCCAGACGUGGUGGCAUUGAUAAAGUGAGUUCUCCCGAGAGCGUUUCGAGUGCUGCAGACUCCUUUUCAGGGAUGAAUUUGGAUAAAGAUGAUGCUUCGCCCGG